CGGGGCCUAAUUCUAGGUGCUGGAGAUAACGCUACGCAGCGCCCUCCUACUAAGGAUCGCAGGACUUUGAAGUCAGUAGUCUCAAUGCCCUCAUCUGUGAAUUAAGGGGUUGGCCUAGGUGAACAGUUUCUCAUAACCCCCUGUGGAAGUUAAAAGGAUGCCAGACCUAAGGCUCCAUCUCAGACCUACUGUCAGACUCUGGGGAGAGUACGGCAGAGGAGCCUGUAAAGGUUCCUCCCGGGACGCUAGGACGCAGGGCUGAGAACCUCACCUCUCCAUCUCUAAGUGCCUUCAGCUUAUUCCAUUGUUGAGGGCACUGAAAACCAAGAAAGGCUUCCUGGAAGGGAUGCUGUAUUUAGGUUUUAAAGAAAGGCAAAAGAUACACACUAGCAGAGGGGGAGGGGAUGGGAUCCCAAGUGCAGCUUCUUUUGAUCAAAUGCUUUUCUUUCCUAUAAAGUCAAAGGAAGGCACUUUUGAGGAUCAGGCAUAAAGCUGAGCAAAUUUUUCCCCUAUAAAACAAAGUGAAGAGGCCUGGUGAAGGAGAUGAUGGCAGAGGCACUGCUCUCAUUAAACGGCUAAUUGAGCCCCACACUUCAGAUGGAUAAUGUGGCAGAGCGAGGAGCUGGGAGAGUACCGCUUUCAUUUACCAUCACCUUGGGGAUUUAUUUACCUAUCAGGCCUCAUCUGGGCACUUGCUCACACCCAUUGUUUUUGAGAUGGAUGAUAGGGUGGGGUCCUAGAUGUUUAUUACCCUGGGAAAUGCUGUUCCCUGUCACCAGAUCCUGGCCAUGGUCAUGCUUUCUCCUUAGUAAUGUUUUCUUUUCCUCUAAGGCUGUGAUGAAACAAAUUUGUGAUCUCUUAGUUAUGGUUACUGAUGGGUAGAGAUGCUUCUGAACAUUGAAAAAUUGGAGCUAAGAAAAUCAUCUCUACCUCAAAUUUUAAUAUCCCAGUUACAGGACAAACCUGUUUUUACAAUUAAGUCUGACUGUCUUUAAUUUGAUCGGUAAAAAUAACAUAAAUCAAAUAGCUUAAGUCAAACAGUUCACAAAAGAUAAAUUGAUAUGCCAACAGUAAUAAAUUAAUACAAGAAGAGCUAAUGAUUAUAAAACCAUUUUAAUAUAGCAGUGGAGCAGAUUAGCAUCUAGAAACAGAUCCAGUUAUAGGUGGAACCUAAUAAACGCAAGGGUGCCAUUUUAAUUCAACAGGAAAUGGUUUAUUUAUAUAUAUUGCUGCCAUAAUUGUUCUUUUGGAAAUAUUAUCAUGGAGUGCCCAUUAGCCAAUCUUCCCUUGGCCAUCUUUGCACUAAUUGGGCACGUGGCCACCCAGAAUAAGUACUGUUUUUCCCAGGCUCUCUUUUAGCUAAGAUAGGUUUUGUGACUGAGCUCAGGACUGUAGGCUACAAGUGGAAGUGAUGUGGGCAACGUCGUAUUUUACUCUUUCUGAUGCUAUUGUAAAAAAAAACCAGCAUCAUCCUGUGCCCACCAGGCGUUGCUUCAGGGAUGGAGCUCCGCAGAGUGAAUCUGCCUUUACAGUUGGCAGCGUGCAACUAAGCUUGGAGGAGUCAACUGGGUGGAAAGUCAAUAAAACAGGCUGGCGUUUCUCCCUUUGGCGCCCUGACAGCCUCCACACCGUGGGAACCCUUGUCCAGGAGCCUCCUUUCAGAACAGGCCUCCGAACAGGCACUCAGAGCCUGGGCCAGCCCCUGCUGUCAGCUGCCCCGGAGUGCUCGGCAAGUUCUGGCGGCUCGCUGGGCGGGGUGGGAGGUGUCUGGGCUGCGGCGGCAGCAGCUUCUCUGUGGGGGAGUCCCCUCCAAGCAUCCCCAGUCCUAGGACAGCUGCUUUCCUGUCUCCUCUGCAGGGAGCUGCAAAAGAGGCAGGGAGUGAGCACUGGAGCGGGAGUCCGCAGAGGGACUCUGAGUCCCGGUGCUGCCUUUGCUAGCUGUGCAGCCCUGGGCAAGGUAUUAGCCUCUCAGACCUCCAGUGGCACAGCUGUGACACUCGAGGUGUAAACCUGUGUCCACAGGGGGUUGCUGGGAGAGGGGCAGUAACUGCUGGUGUCUGCCCAGUGCUCUGAGGUCACACUCACCUGCCCAGUUUUUCUCCUAGCUUGCAUCACCUCCUAAUAGACAACACUCACUUAUUAUGUCAAGUUUCUGUCUCCCGGACUAGGGAGAAAGGUUCACAAAGAGAAUGCUUUUCCCUGGGCUUAGAUCCGUGUUUGGCAUGUAGGAGAUGCUCAAAAAUAUCUGUUGAAUGAAUGAAUGGGUAUCUCAGUUAGUCCUCCUCACAGCCCGAGGAGGUGGGAAUUAUUAGCACCUCCAUUGUACAAAUGGGAAACCCGAGACUUAGGAAAGAAAGUCAUUUUCAUAAAGUCAUAGGAGAGCAUGUGGUGGGGCUGACAUUUAAACAAGGCAGGUCAGCUAUGACGUACAUGCAAUCGUUGGAUGCAGUUAAGGUGCUGGGUAAAGGUAAGGAGUUGUACAAUCUAAACACAAACUUCACUUCCGUACAGUGCCUUCAGCCUCCUCCCUUGGCCCUCGCACUGCCCUUGCGUUAGGUAGCUUUGUCAACUGUCGACUUUUUGCUGGAUUUAUUUUGUGUAUAUCAUCCAUAGCCAAUCUUUAAUCCAAGGCUGAUUUGUUCAGACCACCCAGCACAUUUCUUUGCCACCUCCCACCACAGUCAGCUGGCUGGAGUGUUCUCAGGAGGUUACAACUGCAUUUUAUUAGCAGCUUGGGCCAAACUUAGAGACUGAAAGUCCUGUAAGAGACACUCUGCAUUCCAAAGGCAAAUAGAUUUCUGAGGUGUAUUUUGCUAAGCUAUAGUCCCACUUCUCUCCUCAUUAUCCUUGUUCCCUGAGAAUUCAUU